rnacentral:rRNA from 1 species
GACGAACGCUGGCGGCGUGCUUAACACAUGCAAGUCGAACGGAAAGGCCCUGCUUUUGUGGGGUGCUCGAGUGGCGAACGGGUGAGUAACACGUGAGUAACCUGCCCUUGACUUUGGGAUAACUUCAGGAAACUGGGGCUAAUACCGGAUAGGAGCUCCUGCUGCAUGGUGGGGGUUGGAAAGUUUCGGCGGUUGGGGAUGGACUCGCGGCUUAUCAGCUUGUUGGUGGGGUAGUGGCUUACCAAGGCUUUGACGGGUAGCCGGCCUGGGAGGGUGACCGGCCACAAUGGGACUGAGAUACGGCCCAGACUCCUACGGGAGGCAGCAGUGGGGAAUAUUGCACAAUGGGCGGAAGCCUGAUGCAGCAACGCCGCGUGCGGGAUGACGGCCUUCGGGUUGUAAACCGCUUUCGACUGUGACGAAGCGUGAGUGACGGUAAUGGGUAAAGAAGCACCGGCUAACUACGUG